rnacentral:lncRNA from 12 species
GCACCUCUAGGGGCGGGUCCAAGUUGCAUGCCGGGAACAAUAUGAGCCGGAGAGCUCCAGGCUUCUGAGGCAUUCCCUGCUUGGGACUUCAUUUCCCAGUGGCCUCCACGCCCAACUAGCCGCCACUUCCGGCAUCCGGGGGUCCCUGUCCUGGAGGGAUGAGGCCCUCCGGCGGAGGAGAGAAUUCGUGGCUGCCAGAGGCCUCUGCUGACCAGGACCCCAGCCGGAGGGACCCGCCAGCGUGUGUGGGCAGAGAGAGGCGCUCAGGACAGAGCGCUGACAGGCACCCGAGGGAGGGCGCCUGAGCGCGUGUGCGCGCGCAGCGAGGAGGGGGACUGUGCGACCGCGAGGGGCGGCCGCGGAGUGUGGCGGUGCGUGCGUGAGGGCGCGCGUGGUGCUGCGGUGACGGGGAGAGGGGGCGUGUGGUGAGCGUGCUUCGCCGUGGCUGUGUGUGCGUGUCAGUGUGAGUCACGGGACCGGCGGCCCGCCGCUUCCUCCCCUCCCAGCCACGUGGCUGCAGCAUGCCCGUGGCCCCUGUAGAGAGGUCAGACGCUGAGCCCAGAAUGAAAGGUUUCCUCCGGAAAGCCCGGGCCUGGCCUUGGGAUGGGGACUUAAGCCCUGGAAGUGCCUGUCUGGGCCCCCCACGAGGGCAGCUACCUGUUGCGAACCACCGCAUUCUCGGAGUUGCGUCCCCAGGAACCAGCUUCGAACGCGGGGACCGAUUCCUCCUUUUACUCCCAUCCCAUUUUGUGCGAAUCAUACCAUUACCCAAAAGAAGGACUCCGAGAAGGAUGGGAGACUAUUAUUACCGCACGUCUAAAGUCAAGGGAGGGGAAGCAUGAGGAAGAUGGACCAAUUUUGUUGUUCUAAAAACAUGGCCUACGGAUCUCUGUCAUUCAGGGACGUGGCCAUCAGCUUCUCCCAGGAGGAGUGGGAGUGCCUGGACCCUGCUCAGAGGGCUUUGUACAGGGAUGUGAUGUUGGAGACCUACAGCAACCUGGUUUCACUAGCAGGAAUUUCCAUCUCUAAGCCAAAUGUGAUUACCUUAUUGGAGCAAGAGAAAGAGCUCUGGGUGGUUGUGAGGAGAGAGACAAGUGGAUGGUACCCAGAUUUGGAGUCAAAUUAUGGAGCUGAGAAGUUAUCUCCAGAAAAUGAUAUUUGUGAAAUAAAUUUGCCUAAACACAGUAUAAAGAAAAUAAG